rnacentral:misc_RNA from 1 species
AAAUUUGGAGAAGAAUUCAUUGACAGAACGAGGAGGCAUAGACCAAUCUACUUCCCUCAAAGCACCGAUUAGAUCUUCUGCUGUUACAGUUCCCCAAUCCAUCUCCUUUUUCUCAAUCUAAACAAUACUAUAGCUUAUCAGAUCCGUAGAUAGGAAACCAAAAAACCGAGAAAUCAAAAAACAAAAUUCUCAAAUUUUCAAGCUUUAACGGGCAAAUUGUCUGCGUCAGAAUACGUCUAAACGCUGCAAUCGCUGGCCGACCAAGAAGAACCUUCUGGAUUUUCUGUUCUGUUAAGAAACCGUGCCCUGUUUUGCAGCUGAUAUUUCUAUUAAUACAGACAAAAAAAAAAUUGU